rnacentral:rRNA from 1 species
GAUGAACGCUGGCGGCGUGCUUAACACAUGCAAGUCGAACGAUGAAGCCGGAGCUUGCUCUGGUGGAUUAGUGGCGAACGGGUGAGUAACACGUGAGUAACCUGCCCUUGACUCUGGGAUAAGCGCUGGAAACGGCGUCUAAUACCGGAUACGAGCUUCCACCGCAUGGUGAGUUGCUGGAAAGAAUUUCGGUCAAGGAUGGACUCGCGGCCUAUCAGCUUGUUGGUGAGGUAACGGCUCACCAAGGCGACGACGGGUAGCCGGCCUGGGAGGGUGACCGGCCACACUGGGACUGGGACACGGCCCAGACUCGUACGGGAGGCAGAAGUGGGGAAUAUUGCACAAUGGGCGCAAGCCUGAGGCAGAAACGCCGCGUGAGGGACGAAGGCCUUCGGGUCGUAAACCUCUUUUAGCAGGGAAGAAGCGAAAGUGACGGUACCUGCAGAAAAAGCACCGGCUAACUACGUGCCAGCCGCCGCCGUAA